UACAUGUGGGGCAAGCGUUGUUCGGAAUUACUGGGCAUAAAGGGUGCGCAGGCGGAUAUGUAAGUCAGUGGUGAAAUCUCUAGGCUUAACCUGGAAAUUGCCGUUGAUACUAUAUAUCUUGAAUGCUGUGGAGGUAAGCGGAAUAUGUCAUGUAGCGGUGAAAUGCUUAGAUAUGACAUAGAACACCUAUUGCGAAGGCAGCUUACUACGCAGAUAUUGACGCUCAUGCACGAAAGCGUGGGGAUCAAACAGGA
rnacentral:rRNA from 1 species